rnacentral:tRNA from 1 species
GGUCGGUUCAUCUAACGGUUAGGAUACAAGAUUCUCAAUCUUGGCAUGCGAGUUCGAUUCUCGCACCGACUACAA